rnacentral:rRNA from 1 species
UACGUAGGGGGCAAGCGUUGUCCGGAAUUAUUGGGCGUAAAGGGCGCGUAGGCGGCCUGGCAAGUGGAAGGUGAAAUCCCUCGGCUUAACCGAGGAACUGCCUCCCAAACUGCUUGGCUUGAGACCGGGAGAGGUGAGUGGAAUUCCCAGUGUAGCGGUGAAAUGCGUAGAUAUUGGGAGGAACACCAGUGGCGAAGGCGGCUCACUGGACCGGUACUGACGCUGAUGCGCGAAAGCGUGGGGAGCAAACGGG